rnacentral:lncRNA from 1 species
GAACUUCUAGUGUGUAAAACUGUGAGACAACACAUUUCUGUUGUUUAAGACACACAAUCUGUGGUACUUUGAUACAGCAGCCCCGACAAACUAAUACAUGGGGUGUCUCAUUGCAGUUUUCAUCAGUAACACCCAUUAUGAACUGAAAACGUCUGCUACUUUUAAGAUCCAACUUGAAUGCUUCCUGAUUAAAUAUAUACAGGAGUGAUUUCAGAGGAAUUUAAGUUUUGGAUCAUUCUUUUGAGAAAGAAAGAAAAGUACCCUUUUAAAAGAGACUUUCUUCUGCCACUGCCACUCCUGAGACAACAUGACCAAUCUCUCCCCUUCCUCCUCCUCAGCGUACUUUCAACAUAAAGACGACGAGGAUAAAGGCAUUUAUGAUGAACUACUUCCACAUAAUGAAUAAUUGAACAAAGGAGAGAAUUGUGAGAGUGAGAAAAAGUGAGACAAAGAAGAAAAACUAUAAAUCAGCAAAAUACAGUGCCAAGAGCUCUGGACCACAAAUCAGAAGACCUGAGCCCUAAUUCCUUUCCAGUCAUUGGAUUUGUUCGUCGCUUGCCAAAACAGCAGCGAACUCUCUGUCAAACU